CCUACAUCUCUGGCAAAAAAAACACAGCUUCUCCAGAGCAGAAAGGAAAUCACUCACCUACCACUCUGAACUUCGAAGAUUUGGGAUCUUGCUGGGACAAGAUGUGGAUGGUCAUCGUGCUCCUGGACUGUGUCCAGGCUGAAGUUCUGUUCCUACCGUAUGAUCCUCCCCCGGAUUGUCCUUUCUGAGCUCCAGCCAGGUGAUGGUAAACACUCAGUUUUGGAUUUCCCACAAAUGGAAACAUUCUCUCACAUCUACAAGGUCCCACAUGGCAGACUGGGCAGAAAAAUAAAACCUCAUGG